UAUUAGUACAAAAUCAACCAGCCUUCGGGCUGUCGAUUUGAUGACUCUGGAUAACUCUUCCUGAUCGCAUGGCCUUGUGCCAGCGACGUAUCUUUCAAGUGUCUGCCCUAUCAACUGUCGAUGGUGGGUUAUAUGCCUACCAUGGUUAUAACGGGUAACGGGGAAUCAGGGUUCGAUUCCGGAGAGGGAGCCUUAGAAGUGGCUGCUACAUCUAAGGAUGGCAGCAGGCGCGCAACUUACCCACUGCUAGUGGCAGCGAGGUGGUGACGAUAAAUAACAAUACAGAACUCUUUUGAGGCUCUGUCAUUGGAAUGAGAACAAUUUAAAUCCUUUAACGAGGAUCAAUUGGAGGGCAAGUCUGGUGCCAGCAGCCGCGGUAAUUCCAGCUCCAAUAGCGUAUAUUAAAAUUGUUGCAGUUAAAAAGCUCGUAGUUGGAUCUCAGGUUGGUGUUGGUAAGAGCAUCUUUUAGAUGUUUCGAACUAGCCCGCCUUAUUAGUCGUAGUGGCUACUAGUGCACUUUAUUGUGUUGCUAGUAGUGCACGACAUGUUUACUUUGAAAAAAUUAGAGUGCUCAAA
rnacentral:rRNA from 1 species